rnacentral:rRNA from 1 species
AGCGUACACGGUGGAUGCCCUGGCAGUCAGAGGCGAUGAAGGACGUGCUAAUCUGCGAUAAGCGUCGGUAAGGUGAUAUGAACCGUUAUAACCGGCGAUUUCCGAAUGGGGAAACCCAGUGUGUUUCGACACACUAUCAUUAACUGAAUCCAUAGGUUAAUGAGGCGAACCGGGGGAACUGAAACAUCUAAGUACCCCGAGGAAAAGAAAUCAACCGAGAUUCCCCCAGUAGCGGCGAGCGAACGGGGAGCAGCCCAGAGCCUGAAUCAGUGUGUGUGUUAGUGGAAGCGUCUGGAAAGGCGCGCGAUACAGGGUGACAGCCCCGUACACAAAAAUGCACAUGCUGUGAGCUCGAUGAGUAGGGCGGGACACGUGGUAUCCUGUCUGAAUAUGGGGGGACCAUCCUCCAAGGCUAAAUACUCCUGACUGACCGAUAGUGAACCAGUACCGUGAGGGAAAGGCGAAAAGAACCCCGGCGAGGGGAGUGAAAAAGAACCUGAAACCGUGUACGUACAAGCAGUGGGAGCACGCUUCGGCGUGUGACUGCGUACCUUUUGUAUAAUGGGUCAGCGACUUAUAUUCUGUAGCAAGGUUAACCGAAUAGGGGAGCCGAAGGGAAACCGAGUCUUAACUGGGCGUUAAGUUGCAGGGUAUAGACCCGAAACCCGGUGAUCUAGCCAUGGGCAGGUUGAAGGUUGGGUAACACUAACUGGAGGACCGAACCGACUAAUGUUGAAAAAUUAGCGGAUGACUUGUGGCUGGGGGUGAAAGGCCAAUCAAACCGGGAGAUAGCUGGUUCUCCCCGAAAGCUAUUUAGGUAGCGCCUCGUGAAUUCAUCUCCGGGGGUAGAGCACUGUUUCGGCAAGGGGGUCAUCCCGACUUACCAACCCGAUGCAAACUGCGAAUACCGGAGAAUGUUAUCACGGGAGACACACGGCGGGUGCUAACGUCCGUCGUGAAGAGGGAAACAACCCAGACCGCCAGCUAAGGUCCCAAAGUCAUGGUUAAGUGGGAAACGAUGUGGGAAGGCCCAGACAGCCAGGAUGUUGGCUUAGAAGCAGCCAUCAUUUAAAGAAAGCGUAAUAGCUCACUGGUCGAGUCGGCCUGCGCGGAAGAUGUAACGGGGCUAAACCAUGCACCGAAGCUGCGGCAGCGACACUGUGUGUUGUUGGGUAGGGGAGCGUUCUGUAAGCCUGUGAAGGUGUACUGUGAGGUAUGCUGGAGGUAUCAGAAGUGCGAAUGCUGACAUAAGUAACGAUAAAGCGGGUGAAAAGCCCGCUCGCCGGAAGACCAAGGGUUCCUGUCCAACGUUAAUCGGGGCAGGGUGAGUCGACCCCUAAGGCGAGGCCGAAAGGCGUAGUCGAUGGGAAACAGGUUAAUAUUCCUGUACUUGGUGUUACUGCGAAGGGGGGACGGAGAAGGCUAUGUUGGCCGGGCGACGGUUGUCCCGGUUUAAGCGUGUAGGCUGGUUUUCCAGGCAAAUCCGGAAAAUCAAGGCUGAGGCGUGAUGACGAGGCACUACGGUGCUGAAGCAACAAAUGCCCUGCUUCCAGGAAAAGCCUCUAAGCAUCAGGUAACAUCAAAUCGUACCCCAAACCGACACAGGUGGUCAGGUAGAGAAUACCAAGGCGCUUGAGAGAACUCGGGUGAAGGAACUAGGCAAAAUGGUGCCGUAACUUCGGGAGAAGGCACGCUGAUAUGUAGGUGAAGCGACUUGCUCGUGGAGCUGAAAUCAGUCGAAGAUACCAGCUGGCUGCAACUGUUUAUUAAAAACACAGCACUGUGCAAACACGAAAGUGGACGUAUACGGUGUGACGCCUGCCCGGUGCCGGAAGGUUAAUUGAUGGGGUUAGCGGUAACGCGAAGCUCUUGAUCGAAGCCCCGGUAAACGGCGGCCGUAACUAUAACGGUCCUAAGGUAGCGAAAUUCCUUGUCGGGUAAGUUCCGACCUGCACGAAUGGCGUAAUGAUGGCCAGGCUGUCUCCACCCGAGACUCAGUGAAAUUGAACUCGCUGUGAAGAUGCAGUGUACCCGCGGCAAGACGGAAAGACCCCGUGAACCUUUACUAUAGCUUGACACUGAACAUUGAGCCUUGAUGUGUAGGAUAGGUGGGAGGCUUUGAAGUGUGGACGCCAGUCUGCAUGGAGCCGACCUUGAAAUACCACCCUUUAAUGUUUGAUGUUCUAACGUUGACCCGUAAUCCGGGUUGCGGACAGUGUCUGGUGGGUAGUUUGACUGGGGCGGUCUCCUCCUAAAGAGUAACGGAGGAGCACGAAGGUUGGCUAAUCCUGGUCGGACAUCAGGAGGUUAGUGCAAUGGCAUAAGCCAGCUUGACUGCGAGCGUGACGGCGCGAGCAGGUGCGAAAGCAGGUCAUAGUGAUCCGGUGGUUCUGAAUGGAAGGGCCAUCGCUCAACGGAUAAAAGGUACUCCGGGGAUAACAGGCUGAUACCGCCCAAGAGUUCAUAUCGACGGCGGUGUUUGGCACCUCGAUGUCGGCUCAUCACAUCCUGGGGCUGAAGUAGGUCCCAAGGGUAUGGCUGUUCGCCAUUUAAAGUGGUACGCGAGCUGGGUUUAGAACGUCGUGAGACAGUUCGGUCCCUAUCUGCCGUGGGCGCUGGAGAACUGAGGGGGGCUGCUCCUAGUACGAGAGGACCGGAGUGGACGCAUCACUGGUGUUCGGGUUGUCAUGCCAAUGGCACUGCCCGGUAGCUAAAUGCGGAAGAGAUAAGUGCUGAAAGCAUCUAAGCACGAAACUUGCCCCGAGAUGAGUUCU